rnacentral:rRNA from 1 species
AGCGAACGCUGGCGGCAGGCCUAACACAUGCAAGUCGAACGAACCUUUCGGGGUUAGUGGCGGACGGGUGAGUAACACGUGGGAACGUGCCUUUAUGUUCGGAAUAACUCAGGGACACUUGUGCUAAUACCGAAUGUGCCCUUCGGGGGAAAGAUUAAUCGCCUUUCGGGCGGCCCGCGUCUGAUUAGCUAGUUGGUUGAGGUAAUGGCUCACCAAGGCGACGAUCAGUAGCUGGUCUGAGAGGAUGAUCAGCCACAUUGGGACUGAGACACGGCCCAAACUCCUACGGGAGGCAGCAGUGGGGAAUCUUGCGCAAUGGGCGAAAGCCUGACGCAGCCAUGCCGCGUGAAUGAUGAAGGUCUUAGGAUUGUAAAAUUCUUUCACCGGGGACGAUAAUGACGGUACCCGGAGAAGAAGCCCCGGCUAACUUCGUG